UACGUAUGGAGCAAGCGUUAUCCGGAUUUACUGGGCGUAAAGGGAGCGUAGGCGGCCUGCCAAGUCUGAUGUGAAAUACCGGGGCUCAACCCCGGGGCUGCCGUUGAAACCGGAGCGCUAGAAUUCCGAUGCCGUCGGAGGAAUGUGUGGUGUAGCGGUGAAAUGCAUAGAUAUCACACAGAACACCGAUUGCGAAGGCAGCUUACCAAUCUAUAUCUGACGUUGAGGCACGAAAGCGUGGGGAGCAAACAGG
rnacentral:rRNA from 1 species